AUGGACUGGAGCUGGAGAACCCUCCUCCUGGUGGCCAUGGCUACAGGUGUCCACUCCCAGGUGCAGCUGGUGCAGUCUGGGGCUGAGGUGAGGAAGCCUGGGGCCUCCGUGAAGGUCUCCUGCAAGGCUUCUGGAUACACCUUCACCAGCUACUACAUGCACUGGGUGCGACAGGCCCCAGGACAGGGGCUUGAGUGGGUGGGGUGGGUUUACCCUAACAAUGGAAACACAAAAUAUGCACAGAAGUUCCAAGGCAGAGUCUCCAUGUCCAGAGACACGUCCACGAGCACAGCCUACAUGGAGCUGAGCAGCCUGAGAGCCGAGGACACUGCCAUGUAUUACUGUGCAAGGGACACACAGUGA